AAGUCGUAACAAGGUCUCCGUUGGUGAACCAGCGGAGGGAUCAUUACCGAGUUUACACACUCCAAACCCCUGUGAACAUACCUACCGUUGCUUCGGCGUGUCGCCCCGGGUGCCUUCCGGCCCCGGAUCCAGGCGCCCGCCGGGGACCUCAAACUCUUGUUUUUACUACGUGGAUCUUCUGAGUGGCGUAAAGCAAAUCAAUCAAAACUUUCAACAACGGAUCUCUUGGUUCUG
rnacentral:misc_RNA from 1 species